rnacentral:sRNA from 1 species
GCCAGGCACAGUGGUGCAUGCCUGUAAUCCCAGCAGCUUGGGAGGCUGAAGCAGGAGGAUUGCAAGUUCAGAGCCAGUCUCAGCAAAAGUGAGGUGCUAAGCAACUCAGUGACAUCUUGUCUCUA